rnacentral:rRNA from 1 species
UCAUCAUGCCCCUUAUGUCUUGGGCUUCACGCAUGCUACAAUGGCCGGUACAAAGGGCUGCGAUACCGCGAGGUGGAGCGAAAUCCCAGAAAGCCGGUCUCAGUUCGGAUUGGGUCUGCAACUCGACCCCAUGAAGUCGGAGUCGCUAGUAAUCGCAGAUCAGCAACGCUGCGGUGAAUACGUUCCCGGGCCUU